UACAGAGGGUGCGAGCGUUGUCCGGAAUCACUGGGCGUAAAGGGCGCGUAGGUGGCGAGCCAAGUCCAUGGUGAAAGCUCGAUGCUCAACAUCGAGUCGGCCACGGAUACUGGUGCGCUUGAGCACUGUAGAGGCUAAUGGAAUUCCGGGUGUAGCGGUGGAAUGCGUAGAGAUCCGGAAGAACACCGGUGGCGAAGGCGGUUAGCUGGGCAGUUGCUGACACUGAGGCGCGACAGCGUGGGGAGCAAACAGG
rnacentral:rRNA from 1 species